rnacentral:rRNA from 1 species
GACGAACGCUGGCGGCAUGCCUAACACAUGCAAGUCGAACGAGACCUUCGGGUCUAGUGGCGCACGGGUGCGUAACGCGUGGGAAUCUGCCCUUGGGUUCGGAACAACAGUUGGAAACGACUGCUAAUACCGGAUGAUGACUUCGGUCCAAAGAUUUAUCGCCCAGGGAUGAGCCCGCGUAGGAUUAGCUUGUUGGUGAGGUAAAAGCUCACCAAGGCGACGAUCCUUAGCUGGUCUGAGAGGAUGAUCAGCCACACUGGGACUGAGACACGGCCCAGACACCUACGGGUGGCAGCAGCAAGGAAUCUUCGGCAAUGGGCGCAAGCCUGAUCCAGCCAUGCCGCGUGAGUGAUGAAGGCCUUAGGGUUGUAAAGCUCUUUCACCGGAGAAGAUAAUGACGGUAUCCGGAGAAGAAGCCCCGGCUAACUUCGUGCCAGCAGCCGCCGUAA